GCCGGGCGUGGUGGUGCGUGCCUGUAGUCCCAGCUCCUCGGGAGGCUGAGACAGGAGAAUCACUUGAACCCAGGAGGCAGAGAUUGCAGUGAGCAAAGAUCGUGCCACUGCACUCCAGCCUGGGUGACAGAGUGAGACUUUGUCUUCA
rnacentral:SRP_RNA from 1 species